AUUGAACGCUGGCGGCAGGCUUAACACAUGCAAGUCGAGCGGAGAUGAGGUGCUUGCACCUUAUCUUAGCGGCGGACGGGUGAGUAAUGCUUAGGAAUCUGCCUAUUAGUGGGGGACAACAUUCCGAAAGGAAUGCUAAUACCGCAUACGCCCUACGGGGGAAAGCAGGGGAUCUUCGGACCUUGCGCUAAUAGAGGAGCCUAAGUCGGAUUAGCUAGUUGGUGGGGUAAAGGCCUACCAAGGCGACGAUCUGUAGCGGGUCUGAGAGGAUGAUCCGCCACACUGGGACUGAGACACGGCCCAGACUCCUACGGGAGGCAGCAGUGGGGAAUAUUGGACAAUGGGCGGAAGCCUGAUCCAGCCAUGCCGCGUGUGUGAAGAAGGCCUUUUGGUUGUAAAGCACUUUAAGCGAGGAGGAGGCUACUUAGAUUAAUACUCUAGGAUAGUGGACGUUACUCGCAGAAUAAGCACCGGCUAACUCUGUGCCAGCAGCCGCAGUAACAC
rnacentral:rRNA from 1 species